UACGUAGGGGGCAAGCGUUGGUCCGGAUUUAUUGGGCGUAAAGAGCUCGUAGGCGGUUUGGUAAGUCGGAUGUGAAAUCUCCAGGCUCAACUUGGAGGGGUCAUUCGGUGACUGCCAUGACUAGAGUUCGGUAGGGGAGUGUGGAAUUCCUGGUGGAGCGGUGAAAUGCGCAGAUAUCAGGAGGAACACCCGUAGCGAAGGCGGCACUCUGGGCCGGAACUGACGCUGAGGAGCGAAAGCGUGGGGAGCGAACAGG
rnacentral:rRNA from 1 species